rnacentral:rRNA from 1 species
CCUACGGGGAGCUGCAGUGAGGAAUAUUGGUCAAUGGGCUUACGCCUGAACCAGCCAAGUCGCGUGAGGGAAGACUGCCCUAUGGGUUGUAAACCUCUUUUGUCAGGGAGCAAUUGGCGCUACGUGUAGCGUUAUCGAGAGUACCUGAAGAAAAAGCAUCGGCUAACUCCGUGCCAGCAGCCGCGGUAAUACGGAGGAUGCGAGCGUUAUCCGGAUUUAUUGGGUUUAAAGGGUGCGUAGGCGGAAUGCCAAGUCAGCGGUAAAAUCGCGGGGCUCAACCUCGCUCCGCCGUUGAAACUGGCGGUCUUGAGUGGGCGAGAAGUAUGCGGAAUGCGUGGUGUAGCGGUGAAAUGCAUAGAUAUCACGCAGAACUCCGAUUGCGAAGGCAGCAUACCGGCGCCCAACUGACGCUGAAGCACGAAAGCGUGGGUAUCGAACAGGAUUAGAUACCCUUGUAGUC